AAGCUGUACAGCAACGUGUGCACGGUCAGUCCCCAAACCUAAAGCGAAUGGAAGUAGUUUUUAGUGAUCCUAUGAUAAGCUUCAGAAUUAAGAUGGACUAAAGCAAUGUCAUAACUUGAAGGUGUUCAACCACCAUGGAAAGCCCGACGGUCUCAAAGAGUCUCAAUACAUGGGACGACCUGCGGAUCCCUAUCCGAUAGACACCACUUUCUACCCAUCAUCGUGCUCCUCGGCAGAAGGUCUGAAAGCCAAUGUCUCCAAAACAAAACAACAACAAAAUCUGCAAAGCAAGGACCACAACUUUACUUCUGAAUGCUGGUA